GGGCUUGUGGUUUAGUGGUAUAAUAUCCGCUUAGCAUGCGGAUGGUCCCGGGUUCGAUUCCCGGCGAGUCCA